rnacentral:rRNA from 1 species
GAUGAACUGUGGGUAGCGGAGAAAUUCCAAUCGAACCCGGAGAUAGCUGGUUCUCCCCGAAAUAGUUUUAGGACUAGCCUCAAGUUAGAUACCUGGAGGUAAAGCACUGAAUAGCCUAGCGGCCGAGAGGUUAGCGAAGCUUAUCAAACUCAGAAUGCCAGAGUAUUGAUGCUUGGGAGUCAGACAGUGUCAGAUAAAUGUCAUUGUCAAAAGGGAAACAGCCCAGAUCUACAGCUAAGGUCCCAAAGUCAGGUUAAGUGGAAAACGAUGUGAAGAUACGCAGACAACCAGGAUGUUGGCUCAGAAGCAGCCACUCAUUCAAAGAGUGCGUAAUAGCUCACUGGUCGAGCGUCUUUGCGCGGAGAAUUUAACGGGGCUAAACCUGACACCGAAGCUUAGGCAAUACAGCAAUGUAUUGGGUAGGGGAGCGUUGUAUACGCGGUGAAACAGUAGCGCAAGCGGCUGUGGAGUGUAUAGAAGUGAGAAUGCCGGAAUGAGUAGCGCGAAUGCAGUGAGAAUCUGCAUGGCCGAAAGCCUCAGGUUUUUGGAGGAAGGUUCGUCCGCUCCAAGUUAGUCGGGAGCUAAGGUGAGGCCGGAAGGCGUAGCCGAUGCACAGACGGUAGAGAUUCCGUCACCACCAAAAGAGUUAAGCACAGGGACACAUUUGAAGUCUCAGAGCCGGGUGUUGGUUCCGGUAGAGAUCGAGGGAAAUUAGUACCGAAGUCUGAGAUGGAAGAUGGCGAGAAAAGCUGUGUGUAUUUCUGAGGUGCCCGUACCGCAAACCGACACAGGUAGGUAGGAAGAAGAUUCUAAGGCCAACGGGAGAAGGGUUGUUAAGGAACUCGGCAAAUUGACCCCGUAACUUCGGGAGAAGGGGUGCUCCAGAGAUGGAGCCGCAGAGAAUCGGCCCAAGCAACUGUUUACCAAAAACACAGGUUUGUGCUAAAUCGAAAGAUGACGUAUACGAGCUGACGCCUGCCCGGUGCUGGAAGGUUAAGAGGAGAUGUGCAAGCAUUGAAUCGAAGCCCCAGUGAACGGCGGCCGUAACUAUAACGGUCCUAAGGUAGCGAAAUUCCUUGUCAGGUAAGUUCUGACCCGCAUGAAAGGCGUAAUGAUUUGGGCACUGUCUCAACAGCCCGCCCGGCGAAAUUGUAGUACCGGUGAAGAUGCCGGUUACCCGCGACAAGACGGAAA